rnacentral:rRNA from 1 species
AGCGGCAGGCUUAACACAUGCAAGUCGAGGGGUAACAGAGGUAGCUUGCUACUUGCUGACGACCGGCGCACGGGUGCGUAACGCGUAUACAAUCUGCCUUAUACAGAGGGAUAGCCUUUAGAAAUGAAGAUUAAUACCUCAUGGUCUAUUAAUAUAGCAUUAUAUAAAUAGUAAAGCUUCGGCGGUAUAAGAUGAGUAUGCGUCCUAUUAGUUAGUUGGUAAGGUAACGGCUUACCAAGACUACGAUAGGUAGGGGCCCUGAGAGGGGGAUCCCCCACACUGGUACUGAGACACGGACCAGACUCCUACGGGAGGCAGCAGUGAGGAAUAUUGGACAAUGGAGGAAACUCUGAUCCAGCCAUGCCGCGUGCAGGAAGACGGCCCUAUGGGUUGUAAACUGCUUUUAUAUAGGAAGAAACCUUUUCACGUGUGAGAAGCUGACGGUACUAUAAGAAUAAGGACCGGCUAACUCCGUGCCAGCAGCCGCGGUAAUACGGAGGGUCCGAGCGUUAUCCGGAAUCAUUGGGUUUAAAGGGUCCGUAGGCGGGAAUCUAAGUCAGUGGUGAAAUCUUACAGCUCAACUGUAAAAUUGCCAUUGAUACUGGGUUUCUUGAAUUAGUGUGAAGUGAUUAGAAUGUGUAGUGUAGCGGUGAAAUGCAUAGAUAUUACACAGAAUACCAAUUGCGAAGGCAGAUCACUAACACUAUAUUGACGCUGAGGGACGAAAGCGUGGGGAGCGAACAGGAUUAGAUACCCUGGUAGUCCACG